UCGUGCAUUUGAGCGUGUUUGUGGAGAGGAAAACAAUCCCCAUAAUUGACUGUUUUCUGAGUAACUCCAGUAAGUUGCUCUCUGUGUUGAUUUUUAGUUGUAUGUAGAGGGCGGGACUCGAACUGAAAGGAACAAGGCGCGGCCAAGAACCCCUUCACACGUGUAGACAAAGAGACCAUCAACACAACCCAAACAUGCUGGAAAAGUUUUCCCGCGCGCUACCUCACGCCAGGACCUCGCGAAGCGCCCAGGCCAGCACGCACUGGAGAGCUCCUGUUCUAAACGCACGUCCUUUGAAGGAUUUAUUUAAUUAUUUUUCUGCUGUGGGAUUAUUGGACUAUCCGUAAUGAGAAUGAUUGCUUUCCACUUCUAGACACAGUGGAGCAACUAAAGUGCAUCUGUAGAUGGCAGGUCAGACGUGUGCGAUGCAUCUGGACACUCAAGCUGUGCUGAAAUAUGUGAGCCUGCGGACGAGGGAGGCUGAAUGCGGCGCACAUUAGCAGGUUAAAGGAGGGGGCCUCUUUAUGCGGAGGAAGCGCUUUUGGAGGACAGUGAUUGCCUCCUGACAUUUUUACAGCCCUGGCGAGGGCCGGCGAGUCACGGGAGGAGGGUCGUUACGCUCCACUCCACACGGGAGAAGACGGCACCCCCUGGCCCUCCACAGGUUUUCACUUUCCACUGAGAGCCACGUUACUGACCCGGGCGAAUGAGUGGGCGACUCUGCCCCCGGUGGUCAGCAGCGGUCAUGCACAAGCUGUGUUGCACGAAUGCCCGCGUCAUUACCUCAUUCACAGAAAGGUCACAGAAGCACAGCAGGAGAGCGGCGCGGUUUUCCUCCAAUAGACCUAUGAAGCAGCUGCCUCUGUGAAAGAUAAGAGACAUUCACUGUGAGAGCUGCAAUCCAAUUUAAUGACCAGAAAGGUUUAUAUGGCACACAUUUUCUUUUUUUUUUACAAAGCCAAGACAAGGAGAAAGGAAACGAGCUGUAUAAAGAAUAAACAUUAUGCGAUUUAUAUUAGUGAUUUUAAGCAAACCAUUUGACAUGUUCAGGGUUUUAUAAUGGUUUGGUCCUUUCUUUGAAAGCACACAAAGAAAAUCGAUUAAUAUUUAAGGUUGGAUAAAAUGAUGGUAUUUAGAGAAAUGAAGGCAGAAGCAGUAUGUUGUGAAGGAAAUGUCUUUAUACAUAAAGUAUUUCUGGACCAUAAAAUCUCAGAUUGCUCGAUGUGAGAGGUUGGAAAUUAUUUAUUUACCAUCAUCAUGAAAAGGCUUUGACAGCAUGCCAGCGAAUCUGUUAGGAAAAUACAGUAAAAUAAAUACA